rnacentral:rRNA from 1 species
AACGAACGCUGGCGGCAUGCCUAACACAUGCAAGUCGAACGAAGGCUUCGGCCUUAGUGGCGCACGGGUGCGUAACGCGUGGGAAUCUGCCCUUUGGUUCGGAAUAACAGCUGGAAACGGCUGCUAAUACCGGAUGAUGACGAAAGUCCAAAGAUUUAUCGCCAGAGGAUGAGCCCGCGUUGGAUUAGGUAGUUGGUGGGGUAAAGGCCUACCAAGCCGACGAUCCAUAGCUGGUCUGAGAGGAUGAUCAGCCACACUGGGACUGAGACACGGCCCAGACUCCUACGGGAGGCAGCAGUGGGGAAUAUUGGACAAUGGGCGCAAGCCUGAUCCAGCAAUGCCGCGUGAGUGAUGAAGGCCCUAGGGUUGUAAAGCUCUUUUACCCGGGAAGAUAAUGACUGUACCGGGAGAAUAAGCCCCAGCUAACUCCGUG